rnacentral:rRNA from 1 species
UUAAGCGACUAAGCGUACACGGUGGAUGCCCUGGCAGUCAGAGGCGAUGAAGGACGUGCUAAUCUGCGAUAAGCGUCGGUGAGGUGAUAUGAACCGUUAUAACCGGCGAUUUCCGAAUGGGGAAACCCAGUGUGUUUCGACACACUAUCAUUAACUGAAUCCAUAGGUUAAUGAGGCGAACCGGGGGAACUGAAACAUCUAAGUACCCCGAGGAAAAGAAAUCAACCGAGAUUCCCCCAGUAGCGGCGAGCGAACGGGGAGGAGCCCAGAGCCUGAAUCAGUGUGUGUGUUAGUGGAAGCGUCUGGAAAGGCGCGCGAUACAGGGUGACAGCCCCGUACACAAAAAUGCACAUAUUGUGAGCUCGAUGAGUAGGGCGGGACACGUGGUAUCCUGUCUGAAUAUGGGGGGACCAUCCUCCAAGGCUAAAUACUCCUGACUGACCGAUAGUGAACCAGUACCGUGAGGGAAAGGCGAAAAGAACCCCGGCGAGGGGAGUGAAAAAGAACCUGAAACCGUGUACGUACAAGCAGUGGGAGCCUCUUAAUGGGGUGACUGCGUACCUUUUGUAUAAUGGGUCAGCGACUUAUAUUCUGUAGCAAGGUUAACCGAAUAGGGGAGCCGAAGGGAAACCGAGUCUUAACUGGGCGUUAAGUUGCAGGGUAUAGACCCGAAACCCGGUGAUCUAGCCAUGGGCAGGUUGAAGGUUGGGUAACACUAACUGGAGGACCGAACCGACUAAUGUUGAAAAAUUAGCGGAUGACUUGUGGCUGGGGGUGAAAGGCCAAUCAAACCGGGAGAUAGCUGGUUCUCCCCGAAAGCUAUUUAGGUAGCGCCUCGUGAAUUCAUCUCCGGGGGUAGAGCACUGUUUCGGCAAGGGGGUCAUCCCGACUUACCAACCCGAUGCAAACUGCGAAUACCGGAGAAUGUUAUCACGGGAGACACACGGCGGGUGCUAACGUCCGUCGUGAAGAGGGAAACAACCCAGACCGCCAGCUAAGGUCCCAAAGUCAUGGUUAAGUGGGAAACGAUGUGGGAAGGCCCAGACAGCCAGGAUGUUGGCUUAGAAGCAGCCAUCAUUUAAAGAAAGCGUAAUAGCUCACUGGUCGAGUCGGCCUGCGCGGAAGAUGUAACGGGGCUAAACCAUGCACCGAAGCUGCGGCAGCGACGCUUAUGCGUUGUUGGGUAGGGGAGCGUUCUGUAAGCCUGUGAAGGUGGCCUGUGAGGGUUGCUGGAGGUAUCAGAAGUGCGAAUGCUGACAUAAGUAACGAUAAAGCGGGUGAAAAGCCCGCUCGCCGGAAGACCAAGGGUUCCUGUCCAACGUUAAUCGGGGCAGGGUGAGUCGACCCCUAAGGCGAGGCCGAAAGGCGUAGUCGAUGGGAAACAGGUUAAUAUUCCUGUACUUGGUGUUACUGCGAAGGGGGGACGGAGAAGGCUAUGUUGGCCGGGCGACGGUUGUCCCGGUUUAAGCGUGUAGGCUGGUUUUCCAGGCAAAUCCGGAAAACCAAGGCUGAGGCGUGAUGACGAGGCACUACGGUGCUGAAGCGACAAAUGCCCUGCUUCCAGGAAAAGCCUCUAAGCAUCAGGUAACAUCAAAUCGUACCCCAAACCGACACAGGUGGUCAGGUAGAGAAUACCAAGGCGCUUGAGAGAACUCGGGUGAAGGAACUAGGCAAAAUGGUGCCGUAACUUCGGGAGAAGGCACGCUGAUAUGUAGGUGAAGCGACUUGCUCGUGGAGCUGAAAUCAGUCGAAGAUACCAGCUGGCUGCAACUGUUUAUUAAAAACACAGCACUGUGCAAACACGAAAGUGGACGUAUACGGUGUGACGCCUGCCCGGUGCCGGAAGGUUAAUUGAUGGGGUUAGCGGUAACGCGAAGCUCUUGAUCGAAGCCCCGGUAAACGGCGGCCGUAACUAUAACGGUCCUAAGGUAGCGAAAUUCCUUGUCGGGUAAGUUCCGACCUGCACGAAUGGCGUAAUGAUGGCCAGGCUGUCUCCACCCGAGACUCAGUGAAAUUGAACUCGCUGUGAAGAUGCAGUGUACCCGCGGCAAGACGGAAAGACCCCGUGAACCUUUACUAUAGCUUGACACUGAACAUUGAGCCUUGAUGUGUAGGAUAGGUGGGAGGCUUUGAAGUGUGGACGCCAGUCUGCAUGGAGCCGACCUUGAAAUACCACCCUUUAAUGUUUGAUGUUCUAACGUGGGCCCCUAAUCGGGGUUGCGGACAGUGUCUGGUGGGUAGUUUGACUGGGGCGGUCUCCUCCUAAAGAGUAACGGAGGAGCACGAAGGUUGGCUAAUCCUGGUCGGACAUCAGGAGGUUAGUGCAAUGGCAUAAGCCAGCUUGACUGCGAGCGUGACGGCGCGAGCAGGUGCGAAAGCAGGUCAUAGUGAUCCGGUGGUUCUGAAUGGAAGGGCCAUCGCUCAACGGAUAAAAGGUACUCCGGGGAUAACAGGCUGAUACCGCCCAAGAGUUCAUAUCGACGGCGGUGUUUGGCACCUCGAUGUCGGCUCAUCACAUCCUGGGGCUGAAGUAGGUCCCAAGGGUAUGGCUGUUCGCCAUUUAAAGUGGUACGCGAGCUGGGUUUAGAACGUCGUGAGACAGUUCGGUCCCUAUCUGCCGUGGGCGCUGGAGAACUGAGGGGGGCUGCUCCUAGUACGAGAGGACCGGAGUGGACGCAUCACUGGUGUUCGGGUUGUCAUGCCAAUGGCACUGCCCGGUAGCUAAAUGCGGAAGAGAUAAGUGCUGAAAGCAUCUAAGCACGAAACUUGCCCCGAGAUGAGUUCUCCCUGAGACUUAGAGUCUCCUGAAGGAACGUUGAAGACGACGACGUUGAUAGGCCGGGUGUGUAAGCGCAGCGAUGCGUUGAGCUAACCGGUACUAAUGAACCGUGAGG